rnacentral:rRNA from 1 species
AUUGAACGCUGGCGGCAGGCCUAACACAUGCAAGUCGAACGAGUGGCGGACGGGUGAGUAAUGUCUGGGAAACUGCCCGAUGGAGGGGGAUAACUACUGGAAACAGUAGCUAAUCCCGCUUACCAUCAGAUGGACCCAGAUGGGAUUUGCUAGUAGGUGGGGUAACGGCGCACCUAGGCGACGGCCCCUAGCUGGUCUGAGAGGGUGACCAGCCAACCUGGGACUGAGACACGGUCCAGACUCCUACGGGAGGCAGCAGUGGGGAAUAUUGCACAAUGGACGCAAGCCUGAUGGAGCCAUGCCGCGUGUAUGAAGAAGGCCUUCGGGUUGUAAAGUACUUUCAGCGAGGAGGCGUUACUCGCAGAAGAAGCACCGGCUAACUCCGUGCCAGCAGCCGCGGUAAUAC